CUCCGGCGGCCUCUUCAGCGAUGGUGGCAACGGUCUGGCUGCUCCGGUGUCUGAAGGUUAUGGUGGUGGUGGUGCCCGUAUUUGCGGCGCAAGGGGACGGUGCGGCGGCUGCGGGCGUGGCGGGUCUUGUGCGGGCCAUCACGAAGGAGGUCCUCAGCGACUGUCACCUGGCUGUCGUGGGCUACGGGCAGACGGUCAUACAAGGCAUCCUCAGGUAGGUAAUGCAUAGGUUCAAGGCCUAGUGAGACGGAGACGAGCACCGAGGUCACGUGCAGCUUAGUGUAUGCCCCAAGAUGGUCUCAUACAAACAACGUAAUAUUCUCUGUUAUACUAAUCCAUAUUCUUAAACAUUUCGAGGCCUACACACCCACAAUUGAUAAGGCUUUCGUAGAAGUUCUCGUGUUAGUAUUUCCAUGGGUAGUUAUAUGCGCCAGGUGAUAGUUUGAUAAGGCUUCUUCUGCAGGGGUCUGGACAGCGGCGCGACCCCCGUUCUGCCGCGCACCGUAGUUGACGUGGCGGAGAAGUGGCAGGGGCGUCACGGUCUGCUGAGGGGCGUGGUGCGGGGGGACGUGCGGGACGCUUGCAGGCUGUUGGUGGCGCAGGGAGCGGGCAGCGGCAAGGAGGAGGUGUUUCAAUUUCUAGAGGAGGCGCGACUUUACGAAUGGGAGAAAACAUACGUAGUGCUUGUGGGCGAGGAAGAAGAAGAGGAACAGGAGAACGAGGCACCGGGAAAGGCAGAAGGAGGCAAGGAGACGAUGGGACAAGAAUCGGCGCUGCUCCACCAAGCCUUCAAGAACACGCACUUCAUCCUCUACCUCGUCCCUCGCCACGCAUCGCCUACACACCUCCCCGACCCGCCAGGCCUCGCUACUACGAAGGGUACACGAACAGGAGCGGAACGUGGCGUCAAGGUAUACACGCGUUGCAUCUACUGCGCCGCCGGUGGAGCGUCUCUUCGUCUUCUGUAUACAUGGAAACCGUCGCAAACUGAUCAGCUCUCCACUUCCUUCUUUCCUGGUAAGUGUAAGCGAGGGUGCAAAGAUGGGUGCC